AAACGGCGGCCGUAACUAUAACGGUCCUAAGGUAGCGAAAUUCCUUGUCGGGCAAGUUCCGACCUGCACGAAUGGCAUAAUAAUGGCCACACUGUCUCCUCCCGAGACUCAGUGAAAUUGAAAUGUUUGUGAUGAUGCAAUCUCCCCGCGGCUAGACGGAAAGACCCCAUGAACCUUAACUGUAGCUUUGCAUUGGACUUUGAACCGAUCUGUGUAGGAUAGGCGGGAGGCUUUGAAGAAUGGACGCCAGUUCAUUCGGAGCCGUCGUUGAAAUACCGCCCUGAUUUGUUUGAGGUUCUAACCUGGGCCAGUAAUCCUGGCUGGGGACCGUGCAUGGUGGGCAGUUUGACUGGGGCGGUCUCCUCCUAAAGGGUAACGGAGGAGUGCGAAGGUACGCUAAUCACGGUCGGAAAUCGUGAGGAUACUGCAAUGGGAAAAGCGUGCCUGACUGCGAGACAGACAAGUCGAGCAGAUGCGAAAGCAGGUCAUAGUGAUCCGGUGGCUUCUGUAUGGAAGGGCCAUCGCUCAACGGAUAAAAGGUACUCUGGGGAUAACAGGCUGAUACCGCCCAAGAGUUCAUAUCGACGGCGGUGUUUGGCACCUCGAUGUCGGCUCAUCUCAUCCUGGGGCUGUAGUCGGUCCCAAGGGUAUGGCUGUUCGCCAUUUAAAGAGGUACGUGAGCUGGGUUUAAAACGUCGUGAGACAGUUUGGUCCCUAUCUGCCGUGGGCGUUGGAAGAUUGACGGGGGCUGCUCCUAGUACGAGAGGACCGGAGUGGACGCACCUCUGGUGUACCGGUUGUCACGCCAGUGGCAUUGCCGGGUAGCUAAGUGCGGAAGAGAUAACCGCUGAAAGCAUCUAAGCGGGAAACUUGCCUGAAGAUGAGUCUUCCCGGAGGUUGAACCUCCCUCAAGAGUCGUCCGAGACCAGGACGUCGAUAGGUCAGGUGUGUAAGCGCUGUAAGGCGUUGAGCUAACUGAUACUAAUUGCUCGUGAGGCUUGAUCCU
rnacentral:rRNA from 1 species